AACAAGGCGUACCUGCGGACCUGCGGAAGGAUCAUUAUUAAAAUUUUUUACAUUUUUAUUGUAAAAAAAAAAUUGUAUUCAAAACCCAUACUCUUAAAAUCAAAAAAAAAAUUUUUUUUAAAUAAAAAAUAAUAAAUAAAAGACAACUUUUAACAAUGGAUCU
rnacentral:misc_RNA from 1 species